rnacentral:rRNA from 1 species
UACGGGGGGGGCAAGCGUUGUUCGGAAUUACUGGGCGUAAAGGGCUCGUAGGCGGCCAACUAAGUCAGACGUGAAAUCCCUCGGCUUAACCGGGGAACUGCGUCUGAUACUGGAUGGCUCGAGUUUGGGAGAGGGAUGCGGAAUUCCAGGUGUAGCGGUGAAAUGCGUAGAUAUCGAGAGGAACACCGGUGGCGAAGGCGGCCAACUGGACGAAUACUGACGCUGAGACACGAAAGCGUGGGGAGCAAACAGG